CCUACGGGAGGCAGCAGUGAGGAAUUUUGCGCAAUGGGAGCAAUCCUGACGCAGCAACGCCGCGUGGUGAAGAAGGCCUUCGGGUCGUAAAGCCCUGUCAGGUGGGAAGAAGGGUCCUAUCAGGAAAGGGGUGGGAUUUGACGGUACCACCAGAGGAAGCACCGGCUAACUCCGUGCCAGCAGCCGCGGUAAUA
rnacentral:rRNA from 1 species